GAUGAACGCUGGCGGCGUGCCUAAUACAUGCAAGUCGAGCGAACGGACGAGAAGCUUGCUUCUCUGAUGUUAGCGGCGGACGGGUGAGUAACACGUGGAUAACCUACCUAUAAGACUGGGAUAACUUCGGGAAACCGGAGCUAAUACCGGAUAAUAUUUUGAACCGCAUGGUUCAAAAGUGAAAGACGGUCUUGCUGUCACUUAUAGAUGGAUCCGCGCUGCAUUAGCUAGUUGGUAAGGUAACGGCUUACCAAGGCAACGAUGCAUAGCCGACCUGAGAGGGUGAUCGGCCACACUGGAACUGAGACACGGUCCAGACUCCUACGGGAGGCAGCAGUAGGGAAUCUUCCGCAAUGGGCGAAAGCCUGACGGAGCAACGCCGCGUGAGUGAUGAAGGUCUUCGGAUCGUAAAACUCUGUUAUUAGGGAAGAACAUAUGUGUAAGUAACUGUGCACAUCUUGACGGUACCUAAUCAGAAAGCCACGGCUAACUACGUGCCAGCAGCCGCGGUAAUACGUGGGUGGCAAGCGUUAUCCGGAAUUAUUGGGCGUAAAGCGCGCGUAGGCGGUUUUUUAAGUCUGAUGUGAAAGCCCACGGCUCAACCGUGGAGGGUCAUUGGAAACUGGAAAACUUGAGUGCAGAAGAGGAAAGUGGAAUUCCAUGUGUAGCGGUGAAAUGCGCAGAGAUAUGGAGGAACACCAGUGGCGAAGGCGACUUUCUGGUCUGUAACUGACGCUGAUGUGCGAAAGCGUGGGGAUCAAACAGGAUUAGAUACCCUGGUAGUCCACGCCGUAAACGAUGAGUGCUAAGUGUUAGGGGGUUUCCGCCCCUUAGUGCUGCAGCUAACGCAUUAAGCACUCCGCCUGGGGAGUACGACCGCAAGGUUGAAACUCAAAGGAAUUGACGGGGACCCGCACAAGCGGUGGAGCAUGUGGUUUAAUUCGAAGCAACGCGAAGAACCUUACCAAAUCUUGACAUCCUUUGACAACUCUAGAGAUAGAGCUUUCCCCUUCGGGGGACAAAGUGACAGGUGGUGCAUGGUUGUCGUCAGCUCGUGUCGUGAGAUGUUGGGUUAAGUCCCGCAACGAGCGCAACCCUUAAGCUUAGUUGCCAUCAUUAAGUUGGGCACUCUAAGUUGACUGCCGGUGACAAACCGGAGGAAGGUGGGGAUGACGUCAAAUCAUCAUGCCCCUUAUGAUUUGGGCUACACACGUGCUACAAUGGACAAUACAAAGGGCAGCGAAACCGUGAGGUCAAGCAAAUCCCAUAAAGUUGUUCUCAGUUCGGAUUGUAGUCUGCAACUCGACUACAUGAAGCUGGAAUCGCUAGUAAUCGUAGAUCAGCAUGCUACGGUGAAUACGUUCCCGGGUCU
rnacentral:rRNA from 1 species